rnacentral:pre_miRNA from 1 species
UAAAAUCGGUCACAAGGAGGAGUGCUGUACCAAAAACCUCCUUAUGAUUGAUUUGGCC